UGGGGAAUAUUGCACAAUGGGCGCAAGCCUGAUGCAGCGACGCCGCGUGAGGGAUGACGGCCUUCGGGUUGUAAACCUCUUUCAGUAGGGAAGAAGCGAAAGUGACGGUACCUGCAGAAGAAGCACCGGCUAACUACGUGCCAGCAGCCGCGGUAAUACGUAGGGUGCGAGCGUUAUCCGGAAUUAUUGGGCGUAAAGAGCUCGUAGGCGGUUUGUCGCGUCUGUCGUGAAAGUCCGGGGCUUAACCCCGGAUCUGCGGUGGGUACGGGCAGACUAGAGUGCAGUAGGGGAGACUGGAAUUCCUGGUGUAGCGGUGGAAUGCGCAGAUAUCAGGAGGAACACCGAUGGCGAAGGCAGGUCUCUGGGCUGUAACUGACGCUGAGGAGCGAAAGCAUGGGGAGCGAACA
rnacentral:rRNA from 2 species